GUGAAAUGAUAACACAACGUACAAAGUCAAAGUUAAUGCUUAAGGUAUCAUGUUUUAUCUAAAACUAAAUUUAGAUACAUUAACAAAGAAAGGACUGAUAAUUUGGCGACAUCAACGAUAUUUAUUAAGUAAUUUCGAGCAUAAGACGAAGAGUAAAGAAUAACUUAAAGACAAAUUCAAGUAAUUAAUACUUGAAUAAUGCGAUAGUUUAACUGAAUAUACCGAUUUAAGCGAUAGAAAUGUUUGCAUAUAUAAACUCAUAGUUUCAAAUACACUACAUAUGUAAGAAAAUGUUGGAUUUUAUCUAGUUGAUUUGUUGCAGUUUUGUACCAGUAACUUAACAGAUGGAGGUUUCUGGUAAAAUACUUGAUAUAACUAAUGAAGGAACAGCGGAAGAUUUAAAUAAGUUAUGUGAACUUUGUGAAGAUGAUCAUGUUACAGCCACGGCGAAUGGAAUAUGCCGCGAAUGUGAAGAUUUUAUGUGUAGCACGUGCUUUCGGCAUCAUCUAAAGGCAAAGUCCUGUAGACAUCAUGUGCUAAUUGAUAAUGACCUGUCUGUGAGUCCGGUGCAGAAAAAAGACGAGAAUGUGUCGAAACAGAGAACCGAUAUCAAUAGCGAGAAGUGUAAAAGUCAUCCAAACGAAACGAUUAAAUAUUAUUGUCGCAAGCACGACGCUGUAGGUUGCGGUGAUUGUAUGAUACCUGGACAUAGUGCUUGUCAACCGGAAAGUAUUAAUGAUUUGUCAAAAGAAAUCCAACAAAAUGAAGACUUCAAACGGCUUCUGAGAAAACAUGGAGAUUUUCUGUCUGCAAACAACAAAAGUGUUAAGAAGGUUAAAAGACACAGGACAGCAAACAAAACAAUGCGGGAAGUGGCUCUGCAAAAUAUUCAAACUUUCAGAACUGAAAUCAAUAAUCAUUUAGAUAAGGCAGAAGCAAAUAUUAUGACAGAGGUAGAACAAAUCGUAUGUGGAAAUGACGAACUGUUGGCCAAGAUUUAGCAAGAUUGUAAGAUACUGUCUUCUAAAAUUAAUGAAGAAAAACAGUUGUUAAACGCAGAACUUUACAAGGAAAGCGUACUGUUUAUUCAGACCGUCAAUUGCAAGGACCGUAUACUUGGAUUUGAGCAAGAAAUUGCUCGAUUACAAAAAGAAAAUGACAUUAAAACGUUCCGUUUUGUACCUAACAAUCAGCUACAACGUAUAAUUACUUCGACUGAAAGCCUUGGAAGUAUUGUUGAAACAGACAGAGAAUUACCUACAAAAUUAGACACAUCACGUCAGACUAAAGAAGAAAGCAGGGUCGACCUUGUAGGCAACAAAAAGCAUACAGAAUCUGGCAAGAAAAAUGUAGAAAAGGCACCAGGGCAAGCUAUACAAAUUGCCAUUGGUUCACGUGUACGCCCGAUAGGGAAAUGUUUUAUGACUGGAUAUGGGUAUCAUCGAGGCAAUCGUGGUACUGUGACAGCUGUACAUACGAAAAACCUAGUGGACGUAAAGUGGGACGCUACAGGACAGAAGUUUAAUUAUUGCAGUAUUGGAGAGGAUGGAGAUGUUAUGCUAACCUGAAACUUUCGUUCCUUAGUGUGGUACCUUGUAUACAAUACAGCAUAGAUAAAAUUCUCAGCAGUGCAUAGUAUACACCUGUUUUUAACUCCUCAGCUAAACAAAAUAUAAGUGGAGGUUAUAAGACAGAAAAUAGGCUCGAAUCAUGCGCUUUAUAAAAUAGUUUAAUUCUUACUCGUAUGUAUUAAUUUCAUCUAUCAUGAAACAUUUAAGAUGUAGAACUCAACUCUACCCACCUGUGUUAUGAUCAUUUAGAAAAAUCAUAAUUAUUUCCUUUGAAAUCAUUUAUAAAAUGUGUUGGUAUUUCAAACCCGUAAUAUACUUAUUUAUGUAAUACAAAUAUCCUACAUUGUUGUGCAAAAUAUAACUUGGAAGAAAUGUAGCCGAAGUUGGAUAGUACUUUUGAUAGUACAUUUUACUUAAGGUUUUUGAAUUGUUUUAUUCAGCUACUUUUUCUAAAACGAUGUUAUAAUAUUGUAGAAAAGGAUUUGCUCAUGUGUUUUGAAGCCCUAUCUUUCAAUAUUUUAGUACAUCUUUCAGUCCGUCUCUCUACCUAUCAAUGUCCUCACACAUUUAACACAUCCAUACCUUCCUUAUCGUUAUGUAAGAUUGAUUAAAAUUUGCGUAAGUAUCAUUUCAUUUGACAGUACAUGAAUUUCAAAUCGCUUUUAAGAAAACUGUAUACUUUAUUAUAUGAGUAUGAUGUUUUCUAGAAUGUCCACACCCACUGUAAAUAUUCCUUUACUUUCAGUAACUACUUACAAUUAUUUUUGUAUAAUUUUGAUUUUGUAGCUACAUGUAUUUUCUUGUAGUUGCCAUUGUUUUGUUAAUUUUCUGUGAAAGAAUUUUAAUAAUGUUAAUAUAACUUGUGCCAUUUCUCACUGUAUAUAUUAAGUGAAAUAAAAUAUUAUCAAAUCAAAUUACAAAUUUCAAAAUGUUCUUCCAUAGCGUCAAAAACACGUUUAAAGCUUCAAACCAAUGACUAAAAGCUUACAAAUUAUAUAAAUGUGAUUUUUACCCAUUAGAUUGUCAUACGUUCAAACGCUUUAGGGUGUUCGCUUUAUGUAAGCUUAUUGUUUGCAGGACAUGAUUCUGAUAAAAUUUCCUGUCUCUAUCUCUAUCUGUCUACAUGCGUAUACGUAUUGUUAUUAUGUUUUAAAUUGUAUAUGAUUAAUAUGAUUUUAACGUUUCUAAACGACUUCGUAAUUUCCAUUUGUCGUCAACGUUUGUCACCGAAUUAAAAAUAUCGCACAAUAGAUAUUUUGGUAUCAAAUAAUUUCUAUAUCGGCUAUAAUUGAUAUUCCGUAAACUUUGCAAUCACAUUGACUGUCUUUCUUUUUGUCAGCGAAUAAAGGGCAACGUCGUCUAAGGAGAGUUGCAUUUGGAUGUUCAAAUAUUUUUCAUCUAAUAAAUAUCUGGCAAAUUAUUUUGUCUUUUGUUCAAUUCUAAUGGUAAAUUCUUUUACUUUGAUUUUUAAAAUGUAUAUGCCUCUUUUGAAAAUGAAACAUAUGU
rnacentral:lncRNA from 1 species